GGCAGGGAUUGGGCCAAAAGUGGGAAAAGGAUGCAGAAAAGAGCUUGCUGAAGAAACUUGCAACUUGGUGGCCAUCUAAUCAAAUAGGAGAUACUGUGUAGGAAAAAAACCUAAGAAAUGUUCUUGGUUCUUCUAGUCCUCACGGAUGGUGACAACAAAGAAGAUGUGGGCUGACAGAGGAUGAAAUUUUCAGGGGCUGUGUUUCCUAAGUGGCCCAGAAAUGGGAGCUAGUUCAUCUAGGGAGAGACACCCUGAGAAGAGGAGACGAUGGAGGGGAUGAAGGCGGGGUGCCCUCAGUCUUCCCCAUGCCUGCUUCUGCUCCCCUGCCCCGCCAGUCACAAAGAUGAAGACCUGGAGGUGGCCUCAUGUUACCUAAUCUUACAUAACCUUGGGACUGGAAGGUGGUCUCGUCCAACAGACUACACUGUUACCAACCCUGUCUGCAGACUUCCCACCACCCACCUCCUGGGCUGCCCACUGUGUCCUUGGAGAGCGUCUUCCUCAUAAGGGCCCUGGAAUGAGUUCCUUCAGAGGAAAAAUACUACUUGUGACUGUACACACUCACUUACUUCUGGGCCAGAGAGGGGGCUGAGACCUGGAUGAAGAGGUGAAGGUGUCUUCAAGGGACUUAAAUGUUUCCUCCCUGGUAGAAGCAGAAUGAUUCGAACAUGUUCCCAGCCCAAGAAGUAAGUGCUUGGUGUCUAGUGGGAGUUGAGUCUUUAACCAUCAGAAUGAGCAGGGCCUUUUUUAUGGCUGAGUAGUACAGCCAUAAAGAAGGAGAAGAUUAUUUCACUUGCAGCAACAUGGAUGCAACUAGAGAUUCUCACAUUAAGUGAAGUAUGUCAGCAAGAGAAAGACAAAUACCAUAUGGUAUUACUUACAUGUGGAAUCUAAAAUAUGGUACCAAUGAUCCUAUCUACAGAACAGAAAG
rnacentral:lncRNA from 1 species